rnacentral:rRNA from 1 species
GAUGAACGCUGGCGGCGUGCCUAACACAUGCAAGUCGAGCGAUUCUCUUCGGAGAAGAGCGGCGGACGGGUGGAGUAACGCGUGGGUAACCUGCCCUGUACACACGGAUAACAUACCGAAAGGUAUGCUAAUACGAGAUGAUAUGCUUUUAUCGCAUGGUAGAAGUAUCAAAGCUUUUGCGGUACAGGAUGGACCCGCGUCUGAUUAGCUAGUUGGUAAGGUAACGGCUUACCAAGGCGACGAUCAGUAGCCGACCUGAGAGGGUGAUCGGCCACAUUGGAACUGAGACACGGUCCAAACUCCUACGGGAGGCAGCAGUGGGGAAUAUUGCACAAUGGGCGAAAGCCUGAUGCAGCAACGCCGCGUGAGCGAUGAAGGCCUUCGGGUCGUAAAGCUCUGUCCUCAAGGAAGAUAAUGACGGUACUUGAGGAGGAAGCCCCGGCUAACUACGUG